UGCCUCAGUAACGGCGAGUGAAGCGGCAAGAGCUCAAAUUUGAAAGCUGGCUCCUUCGGGGUCCGCAUUGUAAUUUGCAGAGGAUGCUUCGGGAGCGGCCCCCAUCUAAGUGCCCUGGAACGGGCCGUCAUAGAGGGUGAAAAUCCCGUCUGGGAUGGGGUGUCCGCGCCCGUGUGAAGCUCCUUCGACGAGUCGAGUUGUUUGGGAAUGCAGCUCUAAAUGGGUGGUAAAUUUCAUCUAAAGCUAAAUAUUGGCCGGAGACCGAUAGCGCACAAGUAGAGUGAUCGAAAGAUGAAAAGCACUUUGAAAAGAGAGUUAAACAGCACGUGAAAUUGUUGAAAGGGAAGCGCUUGCGACCAGACUCGCCCACGGGGUUCAGCCGGCAUUCGUGCCGGUGUACUUCCCCGCGGGCGGGCCAGCGUCGGUUUGGGCGGCCGGUCAAAGGCCCUCGGAAUGUAACGCCCCCCGGGGCGUCUUAUAGCCGAGGGUGCCAUGCGGCCAGCCCAGACCGAGGAACGCGCUUCGGCUCGGACGCUGGCAUAAUGGUCGUAAGCGAC
rnacentral:rRNA from 1 species